UCCAGUUUGUCGGUUCCAAAGCAGGAACCGGCUACCCGGUUUUCAAAGGAACCGGUUGGCAUAUCUCUAUUGCUAUCCAUAUAGUGGUCCACUAUGAAAGGCGGUUUAUAUAAAAAUAAAGAUUUGUAUUAUUAUUAUUAUUAUUAUUAUUAUUAUUAUUAUUAUAGCAUGGCGCAAGCAAAGAAGGCAUGUCAGCAAUAUUCCAUAAUAGUAAGCAUUUUAUGUAUGUAUCUACAUGUUGAUUACACCAGUGACUGGGGUUUAAUUAUUGUGUUUUAUGAAUUAUUUUUCUGUAAUUCUCAGAAUAGUGGGAUAAAUGCAAUUAACAAUUUAUGUUAAUUGGCAAUAAUUCUUAUUUUUUUUAUUUUCUGUGGCAAGGGGCGAUGACUAAGCUCAGCUGAUCCUUAGGGGGCGUUGUUGUGAAAAAGGUUGAGAAAUACUGGUCUAGAGGAAUGUGUGUUGUUUUUUUUAAUUAAAUUUAACAUGAAUGUUGACAUAACUACUCACAUAACAAAUGCUUCACCAAGACUGCUCAGAUAGAAAUUACACUAGAAAAAAAAUUCUCCAUCCUGGACUAUAGCUAUAUCAUGCCUUUUGGCGUACGUGCCAACAUAGACACAAUCAUAGACAAAACAAGUACACUUUCAUUGCGCUCACUGUCGCUCAGGUCACUCUAUGCACUAUUGUUGAUACAAGUGAUAUAGGUGUUGCAUAAUUACUGCUGUUACUUCCACGCAAAAGUUGCCACACUUUCCACUAUCAAUAUGGCAUUGCAACAUACCCAUCCAACACCACUGCUUUACCAAAUGCAUUUGAAUAUGUAUCUCACUCAGUAGAUAGAACAGUGAGAAUUAGGGCCAAACUGUGCUUCUUUCUCUUGUUAUUGUCAUAGGAGUGCCUUAGAACAGCUGACGACACAAUAUUCUGCAUACCAAUAAACACACCCAGGAUCGAAAGGUAGACGUUUGGAGGUGCAUGACCUCCCUGUACUAUACUCAGUUUCAUCAGAUGGAGGAUAAUAGCAUGUUGGACCCAGAGAGUGAACGUCACUUGUACUCUACACUACGUCUUUCAACCGAGAAUUCAACAAAGCUUAGAACGGUCUGUUUGUGCAUGGAAUGCACACCCACUGUCCUCCAGGGUCAAGGUCUUUGGUUGUCCUCUUCACAUGCUGCAUCUGAACCUGAACAGGUGAAUGACUUUUUUGGGUUGGAGAUGGACACCCCAGUCUCUGAAGAACAGUCCUACCAAGUUUCUGUUUCAUCUGUUGACCUGGAGUUAUCUGAAAUUCAGAGUACAGACAGAGUAAUGUUGAUCCUCUG